GAGAGGGUGGAAGGCGAGUUGGUAAGGGCAUAAAGCUACCAACCUGAAGGUUGUGGGUUCGAUUCCCACCCUUUGCA